GUACGCGACAAAAAGAAGGUGAGCUACUGAGAUAGAAAAAAGACAUUUCCAUCCUCUUUAAUUGGGAAUCAGUGCGAUAAAAUGAGCGAAAACAGAUGGAACAAUGAAAUCGACAACAUUAUUCGAAACAAUAUUGAGGCGAUUGGCAAUAUUUUCAAUGAACUCAAAAGUCAAGUUGAUUGCAUCCCAUUCAAUCAAAAUGACCUCGUCGCAAAGAUGACUACUUCCGAACAAAUGACAAAAGAGGUGUGCAUGUCAUUCAUUGGACAAGUUCUCGUAUGGAUUCGAAAAGAGUCGAACAGCGCAAUUCACAAGUCCAGCGAUCUGUCAAAGAGAAGUCCAACCAGCCGUGAUGACGUCCAAAAUGGAUCGAUUUAAUUGGAAAUAUGUAGUUGAAUACGAUGUUUUUAUUCAAAUUCCGA